GACGAACGCUGGCGGCGUGCCUAAUACAUGCGAGUAGAACGCUGAAGGAGGAGCUUGCUCUUCUGGAUGAGUUGCGAACGGGUGAGUAACGCGUAGGUAACCUGCCUGGUAGCGGGGGAUAACUAUUGGAAACGAUAGCUAAUACCGCAUAACAGUAGAUGUUGCAUGACAUUUACUUAAAAGGUGCAAUUGCAUCACUACCAGAUGGACCUGCGUUGUAUUAGCUAGUUGGUGGGGUAACGGCUCACCAAGGCGACGAUACAUAGCCGACCUGAGAGGGUGAUCGGCCACACUGGGACUGAGACACGGCCCAGGCUCCUACGGGAGGCAGCAGUAGGGAAUCUUCGGCAAUGGACGGAAGUCUGACCGAGCAACGCCGCGUGAGUGAAGAAGGUUUUCGGAUCGUAAAGCUCUGAUGUAAGAGAAGAACGAGUGUGAGAGUGGAAAGUUCACACUGUGACGGUAUCUUACCAGAAAGGGACGGCUAACUACGU
rnacentral:rRNA from 1 species